AUUGAACGCUGGCGGCAGGCUUAACACAUGCAAGUCGAACGAGUGGCGGACGGGUGAGUAAUGCUUGGGAAUCUAGCUUAUGGAGGGGGAUAACUACGGGAAACUGUAGCUAAUACCGCGUACCAUAGGAUGAGGCCAAGUGGGAUUAGGUAGUUGGUGAGGUAACGGCUCACCAAGCCGACGAUGUCUAGCUGGUCUGAGAGGAUGACCGGCCACACUGGGACUGAGACACGGCCCAGACUCCUACGGGAGGCAGCAGUAGGGAAUCUUUCACAAUGGGCGCAAGCCUGAUGCAGCCAUGCCGCGUGUAUGAAGAAGGCCUUAGGAUUGUAAAGUACUUUCAGCGGGGAGGCGUUACCCACAGAAGAAGCACCGGCUAACUCCGUGCCAGUAGCCGCGGUAAUUC
rnacentral:rRNA from 1 species